rnacentral:rRNA from 2 species
AAAUUGAAGAGUUUGAUCAUGGCUCAGAUUGAACGCUGGCGGCAGGCCUAACACAUGCAAGUCGAACGGUAACAGGAAGCAGCUUGCUGCUUUGCUGACGAGUGGCGGACGGGUGAGUAAUGUCUGGGAAACUGCCCGAUGGAGGGGGAUAACUACUGGAAACGGUGGCU